rnacentral:rRNA from 1 species
AUGAAGGUUGAAGAAGCAUUGGAAGAUCCGGAUUGGAUAAACGCUAUGCAUGAAGAGCUACACAACUUUGAGAGAAACCAAGUGUGGACAUUGGUCGAGAAGCCCGACAACAACCACAACAUCAUUGGUACCAAAUGGGUGUUUCCCAACAAGCAAGAUGAAGAUGGUCAAGUCGUCCGCAAAAAAGCACGCCUAGUAACCCAAGGCUACACUCAAGUCGAAGGUAUGGACUAUGGUGAGACAUAUGCUCCCGUUGCUAGACUUGAGUCCAUUCGCAUCUUACUUGCUUAUGCUAAUCACCAUGAUAUCACCUUGUACCAAAUGGACAUUAAAAGUGCUUUUCUAAAUGGUGAAAUUGAGGAGGAAGUUUAUGUUAAGCAACCUCCCGGCUUUGUCAAUCCUAACAAACCUAAUCAUGUUUACAAACUUCACAAAGCCCUUUAUGGUCUUAAAUAA